UGCAGUCGAGCGGUAGCACGAAGCGAAGCCUUGCUGCCCUGGCGUGACGAGUGGCGGACGGGUGAGUAAUGUCUGGGAAACUGCCCGAUGGAGGGGGAUAACUACUGGAAACGGUAGCUAAUACCGCAUAACGUCGCAAGACCAAAGAGGGGGACCUUCGGGCCUCUUGCCAUCGGAUGUGCCCAGAUGGGAUUAGCUUGUUGGUGAGGUAAUGGCUCACCUAGGCGACGAUCCCUAGCUGGUCUGAGAGGAUGACCAGCCACACUGGAACUGAGACACGGUCCAGACUCCUACGGGAGGCAGCAGUGGGGAAUAUUGCACAAUGGGCGCAAGCCUGAUGCAGCCAUGCCGCGUGUGUGAAGAAGGCCUUCGGGUUGUAAAGUACUUUCAGCGAGGAGGAAGGUGUUGAGCUUAAUACCCUCAUCGAUUGACGUUACUCGCAGAAGAAGCACCGGCUAACUCCGUGCCAGCAGCCGCGGUAAUACGGAGGGUGCAAGCGUUAAUCGGAAUUACUGGGCGUAAAGCGCACGCAGGCGGUCUGUCAAGUCGGAUGUGAAAUCCCCGGGCUCAACCUGGGAACUGCAUUCGAAACUGGCAAGCUAGAGUCUCGUAGAGGGGGGUAGAAUUCCAGGUGUAGCGGUGAAAUGCGUAGAGAUCUGGAGGAAUACCGGUGGCGAAGGCGGCCCCCUGGACGAAGACUGACGCUCAGGUGCGAAAGCGUGGGGAGCAAACAGGAUUAGAUACCCUGGUAGUCCACGCUGUAAACGAUGUCUAUUUGGAGGUUGUGCCCUUGAGGCGUGGCUUCCGGAGCUAACGCGUUAAAUCGACCGCCUGGGGGAGUACGGCCGCAAGGUUAAAACUCAAAUGAAUUGACGGGGGCCCGCACAAGCGGUGGAGCAUGUGGUUUAAUUCGAUGCAACGCGAAGAACCUUACCUGGUCUUGACUUCAAGAACUUUCCAGAGAUGGAUUGGUGCCUUCGGAACUGUGAAAAGGUGCUGCUGGCUGUCGUCACUCGUGUGUGAAAUGUUGGGUUAGUCCGAACGAAGCGCACCCUAUCUUUG
rnacentral:rRNA from 1 species